rnacentral:rRNA from 1 species
AACGAACGCUGGCGGCAGGCUUAACACAUGCAAGUCGAACGCCCGGCAAGGGGAGUGGCAGACGGGUUAGUAACACGUGGGAACGUGCCCUUUGGUUCGGAACAACUCAGGGAAACUUGAGCUAAUACCGGAUGUGCCCUUCGGGGGAAAGAUUUAUCGCCAUUGGAGCGGCCCGCGUCUGAUUAGCUAGUUGGUGAGGUAAAGGCUCACCAAGGCGACGAUCAGUAGCUGGUCUGAGAGGAUGAUCAGCCACAUUGGGACUGAGACACGGCCCAAACUCCUACGGGAGGCAGCAGUGGGGAAUCUUGCGCAAUGGGCGAAAGCCUGACGCAGCCAUGCCGCGUGAAUGAUGAAGGUCUUAGGAUUGUAAAAUUCUUUCACCGGGGACGAUAAUGACGGUACCCGGAGAAGAAGCCCCGGCUAACUUCGUGCCAGCCGCCGCAGUAAAAC